UGACUCGGAUAAGUAGGAACCG
rnacentral:rRNA from 1 species